GACGAACGCUGGCGGCGUGCUUGACACAUGCAAGUCGAACGGAAAGGCCCUGCUUUUGUGGGGUGCUCGAGUGGCGAACGGGUGAGUAACACGUGAGUAACCUGCCCUUGACUUUGGGAUAACUUCAGGAAACUGGGGCUAAUACCGGAUAGGAGCUCCUGCUGCAUGGUGGGGGUUGGAAAGUUUCGGCGGUUGGGGAUGGACUCGCGGCUUAUCAGCUUGUUGGUGGGGUAGUGGCUUACCAAGGCUUUGACGGGUAGCCGGCCUGAGAGGGUGACCGGCCACAUUGGGACUGAGAUACGGCCCAGACUCCUACGGGAGGCAGCAGUGGGGAAUAUUGCACAAUGGGCGGAAGCCUGAUGCAGCAACGCCGCGUGCGGGAUGACGGCCUUCGGGUUGUAAACCGCUUUCGCCUGUGACGAAGCGUGAGUGGCGGUAAUGGGUAAAGAAGCACCGGCUAACUACGUG
rnacentral:rRNA from 1 species